rnacentral:rRNA from 1 species
UGGUUCCUACGGGGCGCAGCAGUGGGGAAUAUUGGGCAAUGGGCGCAAGCCUGACCCAGCAACGCCGCGUGAAGGAAGAAGGCUUUCGGGUUGUAAACUUCUUUUAUCAGGGACGAAACAAAUGACGGUACCUGAUGAAUAAGCCACGGCUAACUACGUGCCAGCAGCCGCGGUAAUACGUAGGUGGCAAGCGUUAUCCGGAUUUACUGGGUGUAAAGGGCGUGUAGGCGGGACUGCAAGUCAGAUGUGGAACCCAU